GUCGUCGUCAUCCGAUAGUCCAUGGCCAUAAUCAAGGAUCUAAAUGCGAUCAAACCAAAUAUUAGGCUAGUGCCCUUAGUGCUUAAGUUGUGUAACAGCGCAAAAUGGAAGAAUAGAAGCAGAAGCCUGGCUGCAGGAGGAGUACUUGGACCUGGGCCUGAUAUUGUUAGUCCUAGCUAUCGUUUAAUGCUUAGCAAAACAAUUUCCUUUCUACACACAUAAUUCGUUACUAUUAUUUAUAGCCACUAAGUGCAUAGUUUUAUUAUGUAAUGUAUGUAAAUGUAUGUAAAUUAUGAUGAGUUUUAGCCAUUAGUUUAUUUGUUCAUGCAUAAUUUAUCGGUGUACAAACAAAAAUGACAUCAAAACGUAGAACUAAAUCUAAA